GACGAACGCUGGCGGCGUGCCUAAUACAUGCAAGUCGAGCGGAUCUCUUCGGAGAUCAGCGGCGGACGGGUGAGUAACACGUGGGCAACCUGCCUGUAAGACUGGGAUAACUCCGGGAAACCGGGGCUAAUACCGGAUAACCCUUCGGACCUCAUGGUCCGGAGCUGAAAGACGGUUAUGCUGUCACUUACAGAUGGGCCCGCGGCGCAUUAGCUAGUUGGUGAGGUAACGGCUCACCAAGGCGACGAUGCGUAGCCGACCUGAGAGGGUGAUCGGCCACACUGGGACUGAGACACGGCCCAGACUCCUACGGGAGGCAGCAGUAGGGAAUCUUCCGCAAUGGACGAAAGUCUGACGGAGCAACGCCGCGUGAGUGAAGAAGGUUUUCGGAUCGUAAAACUCUGUUGUUAGGGAAGAACAAGUACGAGAGUAACUGCUCGUACCUUGACGGUACCUAACCAGAAAGCCACGGCUAACUACGUGCCAGCCGCCGCAGUAACAC
rnacentral:rRNA from 1 species